rnacentral:lncRNA from 1 species
UUACUAUGGUUCAGUUGCAUCGAGAAGGCACAACUACUCUAUUGGCAUCAGAUGCCCUAGGAUAAAGAUGGGGUUGGGCCCCAUAAUUUUAGGUGAGGGAUCCAAUGAUAGCUUUGCAUUCGCUAGUGAACGGUGGAUCAGACUUAACUAAAAAAUGUGCCAAUAACUGUUAGGUGAAGCCACAGGAUUUAGAGACCAAGUCGCUACAAUAUGCUUGGAGAAGCAUCUGGACAAAGAGUUAUCCAUGCAUUAAUAUACGUGUCACCAAUAACUGUUAGGUGAG